UUUUUUUUUUUUUUUUUUGUCUUUUUAGGGCCACACCUGCGAGGCAUAUAGAAGUUCCCAGGCUAGGGAUUGAAUGCAAGCCACAGAUGCUGGCCUACACCACAGCCACAGCAAGGUGGAUCUGAGCCAUGUCUGUGACCUACACCAGAGCUCAUGGCAAUGCUGGAUCCUUAACGUACUGAGCGUGGCCAGGGACCAAACCCAUGUCCUCAUGGACACUAGUCAGGUUUGCUACUGCUGAGCCACGACAGGAACUCCUUAAAAAAUGGAUAUUUUGGAAUUCUCUUUUGGCUCAACAGGUUAAAGAUCUGGCAUUGUCAUUGCAGUGGCUUGGGUCACUGCCGUGGUGAGUGUUUGAUCCCUGGCCUGGGAACUUCCGCAUGCCACAGAUGCAGCCAAAUAAAGAAAAAAGAAAAAAAAAUGGUGUUUUUCCUUCUAAUUUGUGUGUGUGUGUGUGUCUGUGUGUGCUUAAACAUAGUUUAAAUCAUUUUGCAUAUACUAAUUUACAUCCUGCUUUUAUUAUUAUAAUUAUAUAUAAACAUUUUCCAUGUUGUAAUAGUUAGACAUCACUUUUAAUGACUGCAGAUCCAACCUAAUAUUAAUUUAUUUAUUCAUCCUUCUAUUGUUUACCUUUGAUGGUUGUUGAUAUGUUGAUUGUUGUUACUAUUGUUUUAAAUUAUAAUGCAGCAAAAUUUAAUGAGUAAAGGACAACAUUGGAAGAUUUUAGGUCUGGGUCUGAAUUUUAGAAGUGUUACUUAGCUCUAUAACUCAGGGCAAGUUACUCAACCACCUUAGCGUCAGAUAUGAGUGAUACUACUUUUCUGUAUAGGUUAUAAUGAUUAAGUGAGAAAAUAUAUAAAAUGCCUACUGGAGUACCUGGUACACGGUAGGAUUCAGUAAACGAUAAAUGUGAAGUUGCCAGUCAACUGUAAAUUCCCCAAGGUCAAGCAAAGGUUUUAUUCUUUCCAACACCUUGUCUGAUUUAUGAUGCACUGGCACUCACUACAGUACAUACGAGUUGAACUAUUGACUUUUAGUGAGCUUUGCAGAAAUGUAGGAUUAUUUUCUUAAGUGGAAUUACUGGGUCAAGGGAAGGCUCUUGCAACAUGAGAUUAUAGAUUACUCUCCUAAAAGGCUUGAAUCAGUUUAAGCGCUGUUAUACAAAUAGGAAGUGUAUUUAUCCAUGAAAGCAGCAGGCCUCAUCUGCAAGAAUCAUGACCUUUGUUACAACCAGGAAGCUUGGUUUUGAGUCCUGCUGGCACCAAACCUCCCUGGCCUGCUGAGCAGGGCACACACCCCUGGCCAGAGGUGGGUAAAACUGGGCUAGUCGCCAAGAUUGGCUUGUAAGUGCAGCCCACCAGGGGAUCGCCUAUUUUAGGAGCUUCUUUGGGAGUGUGGUGCUUUGGUUUGGGGGCUCCUCCUGGUCUGGCUGUUUUUGAGUCCCCAACUUUAGCAGGAUAAUGUAUCUCCAAUAACAUUUUAGUUGUGACUAACUUCUGAGUGUGUAGAAAACAAUUAUGGAGGUGAUUACUUGCUGUUGUUUUCAUGGAAAGCCAAGGAAUCAAGUAAACGUGUCUUAGUUCCUAUGUUAACAAGUACCUUGGAUCCAGCACUAUCAGCCUGAUCCUGUGCUCCAAACCAGGAGAUGGUAGAGCCAGUGAGAAAUAAUCUCCAUAGUUUCAGAAGUUACAUUCUUCAUAGAAACAGUCUUUUGCACAUUUAUGCCUAGAGAUUACAUCAACGAUUGAAAUUCAAUUUAGGUCUCCUACUAAGAAAAAUACCCAUCCACUGGGAAGAAUGAAAUGGCUGUACUAUUCAAAGUCAGCCUGAGGAAAAAUGGUACAAUUUAUGUGUGCUCAAGCCUCCUUUUCCCCUACACUUGGUAAAAAUGAAUUAGCAAUCUUGAUUAGCAGAAAGGCAGGGGCCAUUCCAUUUUUUCCAUCACUGAGAUGAAAUAAACUCUCUGGAUUUGCAAUUAGUGCAGUAAUUAGGAAUGUUUAAUAUUAAAAAUGUUAUCUGUGCAUUUAUACACAUAUAAUGCUGUGUUGCAAAUGUGACGUUUAAAUUAGACAAAGAAUGCGUUUGGGGUUCAUUUUCUUGUGGGUAGUAGCUUAAGAGAGAGGGAAGACCGUGUACUCUUUUGAGUGAUAAAUGUAUAGAAAAAAAAAGUGUUAUGUCACUCCCAAAAGAAAAGUUUUUCGUUUUGUUUUUUUAUUUUUAAGACCAAAAGCGUUUUGAAAGAUUAAGGCUGCGGAUUCUCUACAUGGUGUAAUUUCUUUAAAAUCAAGUUAAGUCUGACUAAAUAGAUAACAUUAAAAGCAUAGUUUAUGAUAUGUAUCAUGUGUAUAAAUGUGCAAAAACACUGUAAUUUUUUUGGAUAUAUGUGAAAGACAGAAAAAGGGUCAUAUGCCCAAUACACUAAGAGAGAUGGACCAUUUUAAAAGGUAAAAAAACUUUUCUUAGCCAAAAGGUGGUUUCAGUCUACGCAAUUUCUCCUACCCUUUCUUCAAUUCCUUUUGCUUUCAAUAGAGACUUGUCACUGAACAUUUCUCAAAGAGGAGUUUGAAGCAUAACUAUGUUUGAAAUGAGACAAGGUCUAUCCUUUUUAUGAGUCACUUUGAGGAAUCUGGUACUAAGGCAUUAAAGGAAGGAUUGAAAAUUGUACGUCUGACACAGGAUGUGAAGAGAAAUAUCAUGAUGGAGAUGAAAUAUGUCAACAGCAUUAAAGUAACCAUAUGAAUUUGCUCUUUCUCACUCAGAUACAACUAAUCACAUUUCUUGCUUUUGUUUUUUACAUCAAAUUAAAUUUGACUCAGCACCUCCACCUAACCAGGAUGAUUGGAAAUCCACUCAGUCAUUUGCAGGGCUCCUUCCUUUUCCUCGAAAUUAAACAAAAAUAUGGGUCGGAGUUCCCACUGUGGCUCAACGGAAAAGAAUCUGACUGGGAACCAUGAGGUUGCCGCCGGUUUGAUCCCUGUCCUCGAUCAGUGGGUUAAGGAUCUGGCAUUUCCAUGAGCUGCAGUGUAGGUUGCAGACACAGCUCAGAUCCUGCAUUGCUGUGGCUGUGGCGCAGGCCGGCAGCUGUAUCUCCAAUUAGACCCCUAGCCAGGGAACCUCCAUGUGCCGCUGGUGCGGCCCUAAAAAGCAAAAAAAAAAAAAAAAAAAAAAAAAAAAAAAAUGUGGUUGUCACUUGAUAUCCACAGGGGAUUCCAGGACCCCCAGAGGAUAUACCAAAUCUGUAGAUUUUCAAGUCCCUUAGUCAGUCAUCCUGAUCUAUGGGUUCUGCAUCUGUUGAUAGGGAAAGCCAACUGUAAUGCCAGCUACAUAGACUCACCCUGUACCAGAUCCUGCUCUAAUAUAUUAACUCAUCCUCACAACUCUCUGAGGUAGGUCAGGUAUUAUACUCAUUUUUAUUUAUUAAUUUUUAUUUUCUUUUUUGGCCAAACCCAUGGCAUAAGGAAGUUCCUAGGCCAGGGAUCUAAUCUGAGCUGCAGCUGUGACUUAUACCACAGCUGCAGCAACACUGGAUCCUAAACCCACUACACUGUGCUGGGGACUGAACCCAUGCUGCCCGAGACAAUGCCAGAUCCUUAGCCUGCUGCACCACAGCAGGAACGCCUAUACUCAUUUUUAAAGUGAGGAAAUUAUAGUACAGAGAGUAGCUUGCCCUAGAUCACCUGGCUGGUAAUGAGCCAGGAUUUGGACUCAAUCUCCUUAUGACUACAUUAAACUCCAGAGUUUAUGCAUUUCAGGAACACUGGGACAGGACUCUUGGUCCUUUCAAUCCUAGACACUGUCUUUCUCUAGGAGAGUCUAGAUCUGUUGCUCCACAAUUUGACACCCAACGCCAGAAAACUGGUGGCCUAUGGUCAGAUCUGACAGCAGACAAGUAUUGUUCAAUGAACAAACACUCUGAAAUAAUUGCCAACCUACAAAAUAUAGAGAUUCCAUUGAAAAGUUAAGAUUUCUAGCUUUAUUGAAAGAUCACAAGGUCUGGCAAUACUGCCAAUGUUCCCCUUGGACCGUAGGCUGGAGCUUGUUGUCUUCUGCCCCUUCACACAGGAACUUGUACUCCAGUGGCUCUCUCUGGUUUUAUACUCAAGACCUCUACUCAUCUAGGUUACCUGACAGACUUAGUAGGUCUGACUGGAAAAAGAUCUCAUGUCAGAGACUGAGGCCCAGGCCUUGGCACGGCCACUUAUCAACGAGUGAUCAGGACAAUUUAUCAGUCUCUUUCUUUGCCUCUAAGUGAAGGAAAUCGUGCUUUACCUUGAAAGAACGUUAUUUUCAAUUCUCAAUAUUUGGUGAGUCAGGCUGUUAGAGUAUAAUUUUAAGUACGUAAAUCAGCAACUGUUUUUAGAAAGCCAUUGUUAUGAGCAAUCUGAAGACAAAUGGGAAUUCUAGAGAUUGUAUUUGAAAAUGGUACCUUAAAUGGAUCCCUGCAAUUUUUGCACAUUGACACCAUGAUAUAGCUUCAUACAGAUGUCAUAUAUUAGCAUUCUGUUGUAAUUCCCAGGGUCUCCUCAAAAGACAUUGGGGCAGCCAUUAGCCAUUUCCUAAAUGUACCAAUUGGCUGCCAGAUUCCCCUUUCUCCUUCUGCUCUUAACCCCUGGACAACACGUGAGAAUGAAACUACUGCUACUGGUUCUUCUAAUGGUCACAACCAAAUGUUAAGCUACCGCAUAUUUAUGUUUUCUAUAAAGUUAUUUUGUAGACAGUACUACAAAUAAUUAAAUAUGAUGAAAUACAUUGGGUGAUCAAAUUAAUACUCUUGGCUGUUUGAUAUUUAUGGAGAGAAAUAAAUAAUGAGAUUCAGAUAAAGGUUAUCCCCAGCAGGAAAAAAAAGUUCAUUUAGGUGUAUGCGUAGCAAUAAACUCCAUCACUUUAAACUCCAUUGCAUUAAAAAUUGUUUCUGUGGGAAACAGGGCUAGUUAGAAUUAUCUUUUUUUUUGUUGUUGUUAUAUAGCAUAUACAGUAAAACUUUUCUCAAUGAUUUAUUUUAAAAUAAGGAGUCCAGGCUAGCCUCUUAAUAGCAGUGCCUAAAAAAACUGCAGAAAUAAAUAAUUGGGGGAUGGAAACUAGAAAAGGCAAUUAAAUAAGAGAAAAAAUGGUGAAGCACAGCAGCUGAAGAAGCUUGUUUCAAGGGGGUAGAGUUACAGAAAGAACACUGACAACUUCUCUUUUGAUUAUUUGAAAGAAAUGCAGCACAUUUAAGGAAGAAGAAAGCACAAAUGGUAAUCCUGAAAAAGAAGACAAAAUGGUUAUAAUUAUGAUCAUUAUAUUGAGAGAUUUCCAAAUUUGAAGAUCAUGUAAACAUUAUUUUGGACAAUUUCAAAAUUAGAAUGUAUAUCAUGUCUUAUUAGGCAUGUGCUCAAGUGUUAAGUGGUAGAGAUAUAUCUAGAACACUAAGAUGGCACCAUGAUAAUUAAAGAAAUGAAACUCCUCAAAAAGCUUAUUAUCAAAAAUAGAAGCUGUAAAAAUGUGUGUGCCCCUUGAAACUUCACGAUCAAGAAUGCAUCCCAAGGAAAUAUAGAUACACAGAACAAUUUUCUUUGACAGUAUUUACUCAGUUUUAUUUAUAAUUGAAAAAGAGAAAGAAAAACUAGAAAUGACUUACUUUUCCAUCAAGAGGGAAUUCUUUACAUAAAUUGUGCACAUCCAUAUAAAGGGGGGAUAUUUUAACAAUAUGGGAUCAGAUGGGUGCCAUUUAGUGCAGGAAACAGAAGGAGGAGGAGGAGGAACAUUUCUAUUUUCUUGUAUUCUGGAAAACCCUUAAUAAAUGAAGUUUAUCUUAGCAAUCUUCCAGCUUUCCUUUCUGCUCUUCUCUCUCCUCUUGGAUUCUAAAAUCCUCAAAUUAACUCAGUCACUCUGGCAUUGUUUAUGUCACAAAGUUAUUUCAACUCAUUUCUUCCAAAUUCUGACUUUUACAGCUUCUUCCCUUCCUUCACUAAUAAAUCUGCAGAAUCUCUUAAAAGAUUCUGGGGUGUUGUUUGAGGUUUUUUUUUUUUUAUAUUACAAAAAGAGGGUUGGGAUUAUGACGAAGGGCUUGGGUUACUGUUUGCUAAGAAGCAAUGCUCUAGAAAUUAAGCAUUUGAAGUCAGCGAUUGCCUGUAGUAUUUUUCACAGAAUCAGAUCACAUUUGUUCUCUGCACUAGCAGAAGCAAAUGAGCCCACUCCUACACUGACAAGGCAAAUUCUAUGCAGUUAAAAGUAGAAAAGAGCAUCUCAAACACUUCGAGGUUGCUUGUUAAUGGGUUUCCAUUUUUGCAAAGACCAUAAGGACUUAGUUACAUCUGAUUAUAUUUUUUCUUAACUUUUCAAAGCAUUUUUUUUUCUGCGCCUGUGGUAUGUGGAAGUUCCCAGGCCAAGGAUCAAACCCUCACCACAGCAGUGACCCAAACCAUAGCAAUGACAAUGUUGGAUCCUUUAGCUGCUAAGCCACCAGGGAACUCCCAAAGCACUUUUACAUCUCCUUUCAUAAUCCUUACAGUCAGCUGUACAUAAGGUAGAUGAGGUACUGUUGUACUCAUUUGAGAAAUGAUAAAACUGAGACACAGGAUUUAACUGUAGGGCAGUAAUAGGACCCAGCAUGAUAGGCUCUGAGCUGGACAUUUUAUCUUAUAGAUCACAAAUGGGAGCCCUUUAGUAGCCAGUAAACUAUUACUGCAGAAACUAGGCAAAAUGUGAAGCUAUUUUCAGGAUCUCAGCUUAGGUUAUAGUUUUGCAGUUCCAUUAAAGAAAUGGAAUGGAGAAUUUUAUAUGCUGAGAUAAUGAUACAUCUAGACCAGGGGUAAUUUUGCCCCUCUUCUAAACUCUCUCCUCAAGGACAUUUGGCAAUGCCUGGAGACAUUUUGGGUUGAAUAACUGGGCAGUAUUGUGACUCACAUCUCAUGCGUAGCAGCUGGGCCUCCUGCUAAAUAUCCUACAAAGCAUAGAACAGACCCAUAAUAGAAUUACCUGGCUCAUAAUGUCAUGAAGGUUGAUGAACCCUGUUCGAGAUGUCUCUCUGCCUUAGUUAAUGGUAGUUGGCAUGCUUUAAUUAAUCACAUAUUCAGUCUCUUCCAUCAGAUUUAUAUAAACUACUGAUGGGCAAAACUUUUAUAAAAAGAGUUCCAAUAACAUGUUCCCUUUCUACCCUGUAUGGUGCUUCCUCUUAAUUCUUCAUCCUCUCUUUCAAUCCUUGCUCCGCUCUUGUCACUCUCCCCACCUUACUGGCUUAAUUCUUUCUUUUUUGUUUUUGGUCUUUUCAGGGCCAUACCCGAGGCACAUGGGGGUUCCCAGGCUAGGGGUAGCCCCUGGCCUAAGUCACAGCCAUAGCAACUCAGGAUCCAAGCCACGUCUGUGGCCCAUACCACAGCUCAUGGCAACACCAGUUCUUUCAUAAUGAUAUUAAGAUAUUAUUUGCUUUUCUUUUCUCUGUACUAUUCUCCUCACUAAUUUUCCAAAGGUAUGGUAAUGAGAACCACUAGUGCCUUGGCACAAGUCAAAGAAGUGGCUCUAAGGAGCAUGAUUACAAUUGUCUUCUUCAUCUCCAUGCACUCACAGUAAAAAGCACGUUCAGUUUCACUUAAAAUUUUACUUAUGAUCCUAUGGAACAAGUAGAAAUGAUUAAUUUUGUCAACUCUUGACCCUUGAAUAUAUGUAUUUUUAAUAUUCUGGAUGACAAAAUGCAAAGUACACACAAGACAUUAUGACUGCAUACUGAAGUACAAAAGCACACUGGUUAUCUUGAGAAAAAACACUGUGCAAUUGUGUGAGUUGCAAGCUGAACUAGCCACUUUUUUUUUCCCCCCAUGAUCAUCCUAUUUAC
ensembl:lncRNA